CCUCCCGGACCCCGCUCUGCUCCUGGGGAUUCGCCCUUCCCGCCAGAGCACCCACCGCCAGGUAUGCAAGGACCAGCCGGCUUUCCUGCACACAGCCUGCACCCUUCCGUCCAGAGACUGCUCCCGGGAAGAACCCAGCCACUUGGGCUGAGUUCGAGCCUCCGGACACUUUGCAAAUAACCAGCAGUGAAACUCAACCAACCCUCCCCCGAAGCCUUUGAAUUCAAACCCCUGGGCAUAUUGAAUCCAGCCAGCCAGAUUUUGGCCACAACAGCAGCUGGGUUUGAGACAAACUGACUGUAAUUGGCUCAGAAACAGUGGCUUGCCUAAAUAAAGUAAUACAUUAUGACAGC